GGUGCAGCUGAGCGGAGCUGAGCUCAUUAACGGGGCUGAAGCUGGAGGUGAUGUCACCGUGACUCCCACAGUCCGUCCCCCCACGCACGCACCCCUUCCGGCUGCUGGAAUCGCUCAGGAUCAAGCUGCUUUCUCUUGGCUUUUUUGCUUCUGAUGGGCUCUGCCAGACACUUUUAACGGGCUCCUCAUCAGCAUGCGAUGAGGAGCCCCUCGGAACAGGCGUGGCUGCUCUGCCUCUGCACCGGGGGUUUUCAGAAGAAACCUCCGGAAGACUCUGCAGAAGGAGCAUCAGUGAGCGGCAGCACUGCCCCUCCUGGACAGGAAACUGCUCUGCAUGAUUUCUUCGGGAAAGAUCACCUUCAAGUGGGAGGCCUAAGAAGAGAUCAGGAAUUCCUGAAUCUCCUAUCCCUCUUCUAAAGAGGGCUUACUUCAUUGGUUUUAAUUAAAAUGAGCCAAAAUCUGAAAUGAUUGACUUUUAGGAAGAAAUAAACUGAAGCCGGGUGUUCCAAUAAUCGAAAAUCUGGAUCGAUGCUCAUGCAACGAAUGAAAGGCAAAAUUAAAGAGCUUUGGAAUCAUUUUUUUCUGCUGGAGUCGAUCCGAAUCCGAAGAGUAAGCAAGGUUUGUCUCAAAAGAUAUUUGGCUAUACUCGCAGAAAGCCCAUUUUUCUGCUGAAGUCGAUCGGAAUCCGAAGAGUAAGCAAGGUUUGUCUCCAAAGAUAUUUGGCUAAGCUCGCAGAAAGCCCAUCCAUUGGCAGGCUAGGAUCCUCCUUCUCAUCUCUAUAUGUUAUUAGCAAAGGUCGGUCUGGGCAGCAGAGCAGAAAGUAAGAGGCAAAUCAAACAGUGUGAGAGAUAAUGGGGGGAAUGUCAGAAUAUGACAAGUCCCUGCAAAUUAGUCAAGAUGGAGGGGAAGUAAACCGAUUUUCCCCAUCGGAUUCCCAAGGGAGCCAUGACUGAGGGACCGAGCCCCCAAAGAAAUACGGCUCGACUCCCCACCCACCAGAGAGGACCUCCAUCCCAAGAUUCCCAAAGGAUCUUUCCUGGGCAAAGGACAAAGCCGACUCCAUUUCUCCAACACCUAGACCUUCAGGGGAAAGAGCAAAGAGUGAUCCCCAUGUGGAACAAGGGCAAUGUCUGAUCUGCUUGCUUUCUAUGUUUGU